GCGGUUGUGGCGGAAUAGGCAUACGCGCACGUUUGAGGGGCGUGUCCGAGAGGGUACGGGUUCAAGUCCCGUCAACCGCACCA
rnacentral:tRNA from 1 species